rnacentral:lncRNA from 1 species
CCGAGAUUGAGCUAGCUAUGUCUGUGAGGCGCCUCUGUCCGUUGGGCGCCCUGAAGCCUUCAGUCUCUCUUGCCUCUGACCACUUUUCACUCCCCUCCGGCUCUCUCCACCUCUCCAGGGCCAGGCUUUGGAGAUGAUGAUCUUAGGCCACCCAAGACAAGAAGCACUGCCCACAGAUGCAUGUGCGUUCAAGGGAGAAUGAGUGACUCACAUUGGGUGCUCAACAUCAGCCCACCCAGACAUGCUCAGAGAUACAAGCAAGGAACACAGUAUGGAGCCCAAUGCCAGGGAAUCUGAACUUUUGCCACCUCUCUUGUUACUGUAUCUAACCUUCUGUAAGUAUGAAACACAUUUAUAAAACUG